GAUGAACGCUAGCGGCAGGCUUGAUACAUGCAAGUCGAGGGGUAGCAAGAUUGUAGCAAUACAAUUGUUGACGACCGGCAAACGGGUGCGGAACACGUACACAACCUUCCUACAAGUGGGGAAUAGCCCAGAGAAAUUUGGAUUAAUACCCCGUAACAUAGCGAUGUGGCAUCACAUUGCUAUUAUAGCUUCGGCGCUUGUUGAUGGGUGUGCGGCUGAUUAGAUAGUUGGCGGGGUAACGGCCCACCAAGUCUACGAUCAGUAGCUGAUGUGAGAGCAUGAUCAGCCACACGGGAACUGGGACACGGGCCCGACUACUACGGGAGGCAGCAGUAAGGAAUAUUGGACAAUGGACGCAAGUCUGAUCCAGCCAUGCCGCGUGAAGGAUUAAGGUCCUCUGGAUUGUAAACUUCUUUUAUAAGGGACGAAAAAAGGUCUUUCUAGAUCGUCUGACGGUACCUUAUGAAUAAGCACCGGCUAACUCCGUGCCAGCAGCCGCCGUAACAC
rnacentral:rRNA from 1 species